rnacentral:rRNA from 1 species
CCUACGGGAGGCAGCAGUGGGGAAUAUUGCACAAUGGGGGAAACCCUGAUGCAGCGACGCCGCGUGAGUGAAGAAGUAAUUCGUUAUGUAAAGCUCUAUCAGCAGGGAAGUAAAUGACGGUACCUGAGUAAGAAGCCCCGGCCAACUACGUGCCAGCAGCCGCGGUAAUACGUAGGGGGCAAGCGUUAUCCGGAUUUACUGGGUGUAAAGGGAGCGUAGACGGCAGUGCAAGUCUGGAGUGAAAGGCGGGGGCUCAACCCGCGGCCUGCACUGGAAACUGUACGGCUGGAGUGCAGGAGAGGUAGGUGGAAUUCGUGGUGUAGCGGUGAAAUGCGUAGAUAUUAGGAGGAACACCGGUGGCGAAGGCGGCUUGCUGGACUGUGACUGACGUUGAGGCUCGAAGGCGUGGGGAGCAAACAGGAUUAGAUACCCGAGUAGUC